UUUCGCAAUGCCCGAAAGGGUGACGAAGCGACGCCGCGUGGGUGAGGAAGGCCUUCGGGUUGUAAAACCCUGUCAGGAGUUAUGAAAUGUAAGUACGCUAAUAUCGUGCUUAUUUGACAAAGGCUCCAAAGGAAGCCACGGCUAACUCUGUGCCAGCAGCCGCGGUAAUACAGAGGUGGCGAGCGUUGUUCGGAAUUAUUGGGCGUAAAGAGCACGUAGGUGGGUUUGCAAGUCAGAUGUGAAAGCCUUCUGUUCAACGGAAGAAUUGCAUCUGAAACUGCUAAUCUUGAGUAUAGGAGGGGAGAAUGGAACUUCUGGUGGAGCGGUGAAAUGCGUAGAUAUCAGAAGGAACGCCGGCGGCGAAAGCGAUUCUCUGGCCUAUUACUGACACUCAGUGUGCGAAAGCUAGGGGAGCAAACGGGAUUAGAUACCCCGGUAGUCCUAGCCGUAAACGAUGGGCACUAAGUAGAGGGGUUUUAAUC
rnacentral:rRNA from 1 species